UUGUCUAUUUUGGAUUAUGAU
rnacentral:siRNA from 1 species